CUCAGGAUGAACGCUGGCGGCGUGCUUAACNCAUGCAAGUCGAACGAAGCUACUUUAUUUGAUUUUCUUCGGAAAUGAAGAUUUUGUGACUGAGUGGCGGACGGGUGAGUAACGCGUGGGUAACCUGCCUUAUACAGGGGGAUAACAGUUGGAAACGACUGCUAAUACCGCAUAAGCGCACAGUAUCGCAUGAUACAGUGUGAAAAACUCCGGUGGUAUAAGAUGAACCCGCGUCUGAUUAGCUGGUUGGUGAGGUAACGGCCCACCAAGGCGACGAUCAGUAGCCGGCCUGAGAGGGUGAACGGCCACAUUGGGACUGAGACACGGCCCAAACUCCUACGGGAGGCAGCAGUGGGGAAUAUUGCACAAUGGGGGAAACCCUGAUGCAGCGACGCCGCGUGAGUGAGGAAGUAUUUCGGUAUGUAAAACUCUAUCAGCAGGGAAGAUAAUGACGGUACCUGACUAAGAAGCACCGGCUAAAUACGUG
rnacentral:rRNA from 1 species